rnacentral:rRNA from 1 species
GUAGGUGGCAAGCGUUGUCCGGAAUUAUUGGGCGUAAAGCGCGCGCAGGCGGUUCUUUAAGUCUGAUGUGAAAGCCCACGGCUCAACCGUGGAGGGUCAUUGGAAACUGGAGAACUUGAGUACAGAAGAGGAAAGCGGAAUUCCACGUGUAGCGGUGAAAUGCGUAGAGAUGUGGAGGAACACCAGUGGCGAAGGCGGCUUUCUGGUCUGUAACUGACGCUGAGGCGCGAAACGCGUGGGGAGCAAACAGGGAUUAGAUACCCUGGUAGUCCACGCCGUAAACGAUGAGUGCUAAGUGUUAGGGGGGUCUCCGCCCCCCUUAGUGCUGCAGCUAACGCAUUAAGCACUCCGCCUGGGUAGUACGGCCGCAAGGCUG